rnacentral:rRNA from 1 species
UACGUAGGGGGCGAGCGUUGUCCGGAAUUAUUGGGCGUAAAGGGCGCGUAGGCGGCCAUUUAAGUCGGGGGUGAAAGCCUGUGGCUCAACCACAGAAUUGCCUUCGAUACUGGAUGGCUUGAGACCGGAAGAGGUAAGUGGAACUGCGAGUGUAGAGGUGAAAUUCGCAGAUAUUCGCAAGAACACCAGUGGCGAAGGCAGCCCCUGGUCCAAACAUGACGCUCCAUGCACGAAAGCGUGGGGAGCAAACAGG